rnacentral:rRNA from 1 species
UACAGAGACUGCAAGCGUUACUCGGAUUCACUGGGCGUAAAGGGAGCGCAGGCGGACCGAUGUGUCGGAUGUGAAACCCCAGGGCUCAACCCUGGGACUGCGUCCGAAACUGUCGGUCUAGGGACUCGGAGGGGCUAGUGGAAUUCCUGGUGGAGCAGUGAAAUGCGUAGAUAUCAGGAGGAACACCAACGGCGAAGGCAGCUAGCUGGACGAGAUCCGACGCUCAGGCUCGAAAGUAUGGGGAGCAAAAAGGAUUAGAAACCCCCGUAGUCC